CGCAACUCCGCAAAAGAAUGAGCAUAUUGCAUCAUCAUGAUUGGAAUUAUUUACAAUCUAUUUCAAAAGCUAUCUAUUGGAAGGGCAGUUUUGGGUAGAUUACCGGGGAUUCCCCGUUUCAUAUUAUCUCCGCGCUGUAUAAAUAUGUGUGUAUUAACUUUCACGAUACAGUACAUUUCUUCUACUGCACGUAUUGUUUAUAUAUAACCUACAAAAAGAAAAGCGUUGUGUAGGCCGUUGCUGCAUACCGCUGGCUAUCUUGAAUUCGCGUCGUCCAUUUCUCAGUGCACUUUGAGGAGGCGAAUAGCGCAGUGCUAUCGCGAUCGAUCGUCUAGUUUUCUAUUUUUUAGCGUAGCAAUGGGAGCAGAAGAAUUUCAGCCGGACAAUAAAGAAUCGACAUCCCAACCGAGUAAUGAUUUCGCUAGAGCGGAGGUAAUUAGGCACCUGGAGCCCCUGGAGGAUUGGACAGAAGUAGCAUUUGAAGCUCUGGAGGAAAUAAGGCGGCGAAGAAUGAGAAUAAACACACUUCCUUCGAAUCGUCGCAAUUGGACUGUUUCAGCUGACGCGGUAAAGACAAAUAGCAAAAUAAACAUACUUUUUAGUAUAUUAUUAUUUAUGAUGCGAGACAGCUGAGCCAAAACUAACAGUGGUUUUAGUUUCAGUCGUAUAUAGGCACCAAAACCAGUUCCAUAAGUUUCAGAAACGGAACGUGUGCAGUUGUCGCGCAGUAACUGCCGGACAACGGUUACGUCGUUAUGGCGCGUUAACCUCCAAGGAAAUCCCGUUUGCAAUCGUUGUGAGCUAUAUCAGAGAAUACAUGGAGUUCCAGCGCCAACGCAAUUUUAGAAUUCUUCAAUUUUGUUUUCUAGUUCAACGACAUGCAUCAACCAUGUAAAACUUUCAUUUGAAAUGAGCAGCGAAUAAACAGCUUUGAGUAUGAAAAAUUAUUAUUACACGAUUUAAAAUUAAAUAAAAUUAUACAGCGUA